rnacentral:lncRNA from 1 species
GGAGAGAUAUUUUUGUCAAAAACUGUACACAGGCUGCAUUUUGAUGCAUUUUGUUGUCUCAGGUGAACCAGGAGAGCCAGGAAGAAUCACGACUGGAGCUGGCUCCAACUCUGUCAUGAUCCCUGGACCUCCAGGAAGCCCUGGUCCCCCUGGUCCUCCAGGACUGUCAGGUCUCAUUGGUCCAGCUGGAAUACCUGGAGAACGUGGCCCAAAAGGUGAGAAAGGAGAUAAAGGAGAGCCUGGGAUUUCUGUAAAAACCACUGGAACAGUCAGAUCUGCCCAAACUGAAAGUGGACAAUCUGCAGCUCCUAUUCCUGGACCACCUGGACCCCCGGGACCCCCCGGACCACCUGGCCCUCCAGGAGAAGCAAAAGAAGGUCCUCCAGGUCUACCAGGACUGCCAGGAGUUGGUAAUCCUGGACCCCGAGGAGCAAAAGGAGAGCCAGGAAGCUUUGUCCCAACUUCAGGUGCGUGAAAUAAAGAAAAGGUUGGUCUUAUAAAUAUUUUAAAA